GUAGGUGGCAAGCGUUGUCCGGAAUUAUUGGGCGUAAAGCGCGCGCAGGCGGUCCUUUAAGUCUGAUGUGAAAGCCCACGGCUCAACCGUGGAGGGUCAUUGGAAACUGGGGGACUUGAGUACAGAAGAGGAAAGCGGAAUUCCAAGUGUAGCGGUGAAAUGCGUAGAGAUCUGGAGGAACACCAGUGGCGAAGGCGGCUUUCUGGUCUGUAACUGACGCUGAGGCGCGAAAGCGUGGGGAGCAAACAGGAUUAGAUACCCUGGUAGUCCACGCCGUAAACGAUGAGUGCUAAGUGUUAGGGGGUUUCCCGCCCCCUUAGUGCUGCAGCUAACGCAUUAAGCACUCCGCCUGGGGAGUACGGCCGCAAGGCUG
rnacentral:rRNA from 1 species